AUGCCCUGGUCAGAGCAAAGACGCAAAGCCUUGGCAAUACCAGUUCAGAGAAUACUUCGCUCAUCAUUGCUUCGGGCAAAUCUAUUUCCAUUCAGUAGGGAGCUCGCUCCCAGGCCAGGAACUAGAACGGGGAAGUUCCAGUUCCAGGUGUGGGGAUUUAUGUAUUUUUUUCCUGGAGAGAACAAAGAAACAGCAACACACGCACAACUUCUGGAUUUAUUGUUUUCAGGAACACACGGCUUUCUGCAGGGCACAGUUUCUGAUAAAUUACCGGUGUCCCUGGGAGGUGAGACAGGAGCGGCUGUUACACGACCGACAAACCGAGCCCCUGCUUGGUACUUCUGCCUUCCGCAUCCAACUCCACGGCACGGCAGCACCGGGGAGAUGGUGCUUAGUGCCACCAGCACAGCUCUACGCCCCUCUCCACACACAGCCUGUGUGUUCAGCUGCGUGUGUGACGAAGCCACGUUGUUAACACCGUUUCUCCUUCCCAAAGAGUUAGCUGGCCCAGCAGAAGCCCUUUCUCCCCCUGACACACCUGUACAUUUCUUUUUACAUCCACCCCACAAGUCAACAGGGUGGGCAUUAACCGAAACUCUUAUCUGCCAGCAUGCAGAUAACAGCCCCGGUUUGUGUUUUAUACUCAUCCGUGGCCACAGAGCAUUUUUCUCCUCACCAACCCUUCCAGUCAGGGACAGCACGGGGCUGCAGCACCCUCAGCAGCCAGGGAAGGGAGGAGGAGGGGAGCUGCGUGGAACCGAGCAGGAGCCCGGGCGCACAGGCCAGCAGCUGGGACCCCAGGGAGGCCGAGGGGAGCCAGGAGCGGGCAAAACAGCGAGGAAAAGCCCCGCGAUGCCUCCGGCCCUGCGGCUCCCCGAGCCCUCUCCGAACGGAGCUCCCCCAAGCCUCCGCCCUGCGCUCCCCGCUGCCAGCCGGGCGCCGUCCCCUUCCCCUCCGACCUUGUCCCACGCUUCCACCGCCCCUCCCGGCCUCGCCAUCGCCUCCGGACCCCGCACCAGCCCCGCUCCCGGCCCCUCCGCCCGCCCGCAGCGCCCCGCUCCCCUCAGGGCCCCGCUCCCCUCAGGGCCCCGCUCACCCAGGCACGACCGCGCCCAGGCGGAGCUCCCCGCCUCGUCCCGCCCCCGCUGCGACCAACAGCCAAUGGAAACACGGGAUUCUACCGACGGACGCGGGAGGCCGCCAAUAGAAAAUGAGCGGGGGGAGCUCGGGGUGGAGGGAGCGUUUCCCGCCUUGAGGGGGCUGAGGUGA
rnacentral:lncRNA from 1 species